rnacentral:misc_RNA from 1 species
AAAACAAACGGUGUCGCUAGAGAGGGUGAUCACAAUACGAACCUCUCUCUUGUCGCAUCACAAGAACUCGGGAGCCCGCCCGCCCACCCACACAACCUCAUCGCCACAGCGAGGUCGGCGCCUUUCCCUCCUCCCAGCCAUCUCGGCUCUUCUUCUCGCGGCUCCGCUGCCACGGCGUGCGCAGUGUCCAUCAUGGCGCUUCUUCAGCGUGUGGUGCAGGUCAUGCAGGAGGUCGCCCCGCUAAGCCUUGCAGACCACUCGUGGGACAACGUAGGCGUUCUUCUCGAGUCCCCGGCACCCAACAAGAGCAACGCCAUUAUGCUCACCAUCGACCUCACCCCGGAGGUGAUGGAAGAGUGCCUGGAAAAAAACGUUGAGGUCAUUCUCGCCUACCACCCGCCGCUCUUCCGCCCUGUGAAGCGCUUAACGCUCCAGGAUCCGAAGCAACGAAUUAUUCUGCAGGCGGCCUCGGCAGGGAUGUCCAUCUACGCGCCACACACGUCGCUCGACGCUGCAGAGGGCGGCAUCAACGACUGGCUUGCCUCCUUGGUUGCUGGCGACGGCGCUUACACCGCUAGUCCCAUCCAGCCCACCUCCUCGUACGCACCGAACGCGGCGGAGGCAACGAAGGCCACCGGAAUGGGCCGCCUUGUCAAAUUAAAGGAAGAGGUGGAGUUCUGCUCUAUGGUGGGGUCGCUGAAGCAGCAGCUGGGCCUGGCCACGGUGCGAGUGGCGCUGCCAGACUCAUGGGAACCGUCACACAAGGUAUCGUCGGUAGCCCUGUGUGCCGGUAGCGGCACCAGUGUGUUUCGGCUGCUGCGCCUCCCAGUGCACGUGUUGCUCUCAGGUGAGAUGAGCCACCAUGAUGUGCUGGCCGCCACGGCAGCUGGGCAGGCGGUUAUCCUUUGCGAGCAUACAAACACCGAGCGCGGCUUUCUUAAAGCGGUGUUGCAACGCACACUGCAGGCGAAGCUAGAGGGGACUACCGUGCUGGUCUCCGACAAGGACCGCGAUCCACUCGCAGCCUGGUAGGCAGAUGUGUCGCUGCCCUCACCAUUGCCAUCACCGCCUGCCUGAUGUCAUUGUGCCUUCACUAUUUGCUCUUCCCUUUCGUCUCGGCCAGGCGUGUGCCGCAGCUGUGGGCGAGAGGCGAGCCAACAGCGGAACAGGUUGAGACUCGCGCUCGCGGUAGUGCACCUCCUCGUCUUUCUCCAUUGUCAUAGUCGUGGUGCAGCCAUAGACACUGCAGUGGCGCGAUCCGAAGGCCAAAUACCACGGUGGAUGCCACCAAAUGUGCAUAGAUUCACCUGCGUACCCGUGUUGUUCUUGCGCACGUGUGUGUGUGGGGGGGGGGGGGGACUGCAACCGGCAAGAUUGCGGAGAAAAGGAGGAGACCAUAGCAACCUGCGUCGCGCUGCAACGCGAGAGAGGUACACCAGUCUCAAAUCAAGCAAUGAGGCGGUCGACGUUGUCGCACAGGCUCCUCAAUGGGUCAAACGGGCGAGCGCAUAUGCCGCUGCGUGCGUGUCUGGCACACAGUAGAGAAUCUCCACGAUGCACAGCUCGUGUUUUGUCUGUGGUUCGACUUCACUGCCGAGAGGAGCCACCGCCCUCCCCCUUCGCUGCAGCGCAAUGUCUUUACAAAGUCAUGACGCUCUUCUCCUCCACGCCUCACCCUUACCCAUGUGUGCUGGGCGGUGCCCCUCCUCCUGUCUUUUGUGCUCGCCCCUCACGUGGACGUUUCGUGUUCUGCGCCGGCGGAAG